AGCGAACGCUGGCGGCAGGCCUAACACAUGCAAGUCGAACGAACUCUUCGGAGUUAGUGGCGGACGGGUGUGUAACACGUGGGAACGUGCCUUUUGGUUCGGAAUAACUCAGGGAAACUUGUGCUAAUACCGAAUGUGCCCUUCGGGGGAAAGAUUUAUCGCCAUUAGAGCGGCCCGCGUCUGAUUAGCUAGUUGGGGAGGUAACGGCUCACCAAGGCGAGGAUCAGUAGCUGGUCUGGGAGGAUGAGCAGCCAAACUCGGACUGAGACACGGCCCAGACAUCCUCCGGGAGGGACGGAGGGGGAAUGUUGGGAAUGGGGGAAAAGCAUGAAGCGCCCAUGCCGGGAAAAUGAGGAAGGUUUUAGGAUUGAAAAUUUCUUUCACCGGGGACAAUAAUGACGGUACCCGGAGAAAAAGCCCCGGCUAACUUCGU
rnacentral:rRNA from 1 species